rnacentral:rRNA from 1 species
GAUGAACGCUGGCGGCGUGCCUAAUACAUGCAAGUCGAGCGAACAGAUGAGGAGCUUGCUCCUCUGACGUUAGCGGCGGACGGGUGAGUAACACGUGGAUAACCUACCUAUAAGACUGGGAUAACUUCGGGAAACCGGAGCUAAUACCGGAUAAUAUAUUGAACCGCAUGGUUCAAUAGUGAAAGACGGUUUUGCUGACACUUAUAGAUGGAUCCGCGCCGCAUUAGCUAGUUGGUAAGGUAACGGCUUACCAAGGCAACGAUGCGUAGCCGACCUGAGAGGGUGAUCGGCCACACUGGAACUGAGACACGGUCCAGACUCCUACGGGAGGCAGCAGUAGGGAAUCUUCCGCAAUGGGCGAAAGCCUGACGGAGCAACGCCGCGUGAGUGAUGAAGGUCUUCGGAUCGUAAAACUCUGUUAUUAGGGAAGAACAACUGUGUAAGUAACUAUGCACGUCUUGACGGUACCUAAUCAGAAAGCCACGGCUAACUACGUG